rnacentral:lncRNA from 10 species
UUGCAGAUUGAGGGUGGAGUCCUGUGAUUUUCAGGCUCUUCAAGUUAACAAUACUUGCAAAGAUGAAGAUGGAAUUCUCUGUCAUCCAUGAAGGAACAAUAAUUCAACUCCAAAUUUAAGCAAUCAUGCAAGUACUUUUGCUUGAGACCAAUGUUGUACUUCAGUGUGUAGCAGAAGUGCUUUAUACAUAUUUCUCAUCUAUUCACAUGGACUAUUUAAGAGAAGUGUACUCCUCAGCUAUCAAGAUUUUUAAAUUUUAUUAAUUUGUAUUGCUUCAUCAAGGAAAGUUCAGUGAAAAUGGCAUUUUUAAGUAACUGUGAGUGCGUGGCAGUGAAGAAUUCAGUGACUACUGGGACAACUUGGCAUUGCAACCAUGAUUUGAGCUAAGGCACCAGUAAUUUUAUCCAUCAUUGCUUGUGCACCAUCAGGAAAAAUAUCAACACAGUGAAAAAGGCAAUGAUGUAUGAGUAUUAUAAAGAUAAAUUUAACUUCAUGAACUCCAUGAAGGGGUCUUGGGUACCCCCAUCUCUACCCUAGGUUUCAUCAUGGAACUUUGAGAAUUGUUGAUUUAGUUUUUAGUGUCGAACAAAUAUAUUUUAUUUUGAAAGGAUAAAAUCUCCUCUCCUUCUCCCUCUCCCUCUCCCUCUCCCCAUGGUCUCCCUCUCUUUCCAUGGUCUCCCUCUCAUGCGGAGCCGAAGCUGG